GAGUGCGCCCUUCUCGGGUCCCCUAGGUCGCGGGGCAGCCGGGGCGGAAGGGGCUUGUUCAUUAUUUUGAGAGUUUGUUGUGAACGUCAUAACCUUUCGUCCUUAAAUAUUGCCGAUACUUGACCUACGCAAGAGACAAUGUCAUGUGAUUCAGCCUAAUAUCUCAGAGGAUGCAGCAUUCAAGGUUCUAUCUUGGAAGCAGAGACUGUGCCCUCACCAGAUGCUGAACCUGCUGAGCACCCUGAUCUUCCACUUCACCUUCAUCAGAACUGUCUUUGAGGAAUUGUCACACUGUCUUCUGCAAUGGAUGAACUAAUUUACACUCUCAACAACAGUGUAUAAGCAUUCCUUUUGCUCUGCAACCUCACCAGACAUCUGGACGCGCAUGAAAUUUGGUGCCGUGACUCGGAUCGGCGGACCUCCCUUAGGAGAUCAAUCCCCUGUCCUCCUGCUCUUUGCUCCAUGAGAAAGAUCCACCUACGACCUAAGGUCCUCAGACCAACCAGCCCAAGAAACAUCUCACCAAUUUCAAAUCCGAAAUCCUUCAUCUAAUCUGGCAAACACAUGUGGCAGGUUUUUCUCACCGCAUAAAAUAUGUUAUAGAGUAGUCCAUCUAUUUCUCUUCCAUGGAAGAGUUCAUCUGGUAGAUUGGACUACCACUUUUCCUUGUCCCGAGUUCUCAUCCCGCAUCCAGGAAGAAUGAGGUUAUGUGGACACCUGGAGGGUGAGCGAGGCUGAGAAAAGCUUUAUUGGGCAACCAGACAGCUCUCAGAAGAGAGGUGACCUGAAGCAGGUAACCCCUAUCUGCAAGAUGAGAGACGUUGAGCUCCAAACUCAGACUAAGAAACUAUAAGAAAUAUGCUUCAAUGAAGAAGCUGUUCAAAAAUGAGUAAGAUUGUUUCCUUGAGGCAAGAAAGAAAUGCAGAAGUCUUGACAAACAAAAGAAGAGAUUGCCUUAGGGAAGGGGACUACAGUGAACACUGAGAACUUCUUCCCACGCUAAGACAAUCUUUACAGAGCAAGACUCCGUCUCAAAAAAAAAAAAAAAA
rnacentral:lncRNA from 1 species